rnacentral:rRNA from 1 species
CACAGGGGGUAGAGCACUGUUUCGGCUAGGGGGUCAUCCCGACUUACCAAACCGAUGCAAACUCCGAAUACCCAGAAGUGUCAGCACGGGAGACACACGGCGGGUGCUAACGUCCGUCGUGAAGAGGGAAACAACCCAGACCGCCAGCUAAGGUCCCCAAGUACCAGUUAAGUGGGAAACGAUGUGGGAAGGCUUAGACAGCUAGGAGGUUGGCUUAGAAGCAGCCACCCUUUAAAGAAAGCGUAAUAGCUCACUAGUCGAGUCGGCCUGCGCGGAAGAUGUAACGGGGCUCAAACCAGGCACCGAAGCUACGGGUUCAUCUUUGAUGAGCGGUAGAGGAGCG